GGGCAUGUAGCGUAGGGGUUAUCGCGUUCGCUUUGCAUUCACGGAUCCACUGAUGCCUUGCGAAAGGUCUCCGGUUCAAAUCCGGAUUUGUCCA